UACAGGGGGGGCAAGCGUUGUUCGGAAUUACUGGGCGUAAAGGGCUCGUAGGCGGCCAACUAAGUCACACGUGAAAUCCCCAGGCUUAACCUGGGAACUGCUGCGAUACUGGAUGGCUUGAAUUCGGGAGAGGGAUGCAGAAUUCCAGGUGUAGCGGUGAAAUGCGUAGAUAUCUGGAGGAAUACCGGUGGCGAAGGCGGCAUCCUGGAC
rnacentral:rRNA from 1 species